GGUAAACCUGAGUCCAACAGCCUCACACCCCAGCCCUGCCCGGCGCCCUCAUCCCGCGCCAACACUCUUCUCCCACCUACAACUCCAGCCCCAGUUUCCCACCUCCAACCUUGGCUGUCCUGUCUGCUGGCUCUCCACCCACACCCUGUUCUCCAGCCUCACCUGGAUCUGAGUGCUCCUCAAGCCUUUGUCCACGCAGGACCAUCUGCCCAUGUUGCCCCCUCCUCCUGAUCACUCUCUGCCUAACAAUCUUUCAGAGUCAUAUCGGAGCGAACAGCAUCAGGGUUUUUUCCAAUGAGUCAGUUCUUCGCAUCAGGUGGCCAAAGUAUUGGAGUUUCAGCUUCAGCAUCAGUCCUUCCAAUAAAUAUUCAGGACUGAUCUCCUUUAGGAGGGACUGGUUGGAUCUCCUUGCUGUCCAAGAUGGGCCCUCUGCAAAGCUGCCACCAGCUUGCUAACCCAUCAAGUCCAAGCCUUUUGUCUCCAGCCACACGGACAAGAGAGAGAAAAGGAGCGGACAUCACCGGAUUCUGCCUGGGGAUGGAGUGACUCCAGUGGUGGAAAAGCAUCUGGAGACCUGAGAAGAGCAUUUGAGGAUGUGCAAACAGUGGUUGGCUCACCUGUUCCACCCCUUCAGUCUCAAAACUCUGACUCUACCCUGACCAAGACUUCAGACAUGCAAGAUCGUUGGUGCAGCUGCCACUUAGACAGUGAAGAGGAAAAAUAAAACUUCCUCCAAACUGGGAAGGAGUGCUACAUUCUUUUCCCUUUGCUGUGUAACAAAUUACCACAAAAUUAGCAGCUUGAACAUAGCAAACAAAGUUCCUCACAGUUCCUAAAGGUCACAAGUCUGGGUUCCCAGUCCCUCACGAGGCUGAAGUCCAGCUGAAGUCAAGACUAGGCCUUAUUCUUCUUUUCUGGAUCUCAGGAUCCUCUUUCAAACAGUGUGGCUGGCAGGAUUCAGUUCCUUGCGGUUGUCAGACUGAACCUCCCCCCUCCGCUCCCCUACCCCGGCCUUGUUCAGG
ensembl:lncRNA